rnacentral:lncRNA from 1 species
CUCCCUUUUUUUCUUCAAAAGAAAGCUACUUGCUAUCCCUCGGGCCCCAUCCUCCAAGCAGCUCUCAUUUAUUCGAUUCUCCGGCUAGGUUCCUUUAACAACUUCGUUUCCCACCUCUUCAAUUCAGCCACCUGUCUUUUCUAUGAGUUUUCUCCCUGUAAUUUCCCGAGGCAGCCUCUUUUCUUGCCUCCAAAAAGGGACUAGAUUUUCUGUAGAUUAUUCUCCCUUUUUCUUCCUUCAAGUUGGCUGCCACUAUGAUUGAAUUUCAAAGCAAAGCCCCAAGAAUUCUUCUCUUCCUUUCUUCCCGUAGCCUGCAAUGCCUGACUUCCAACGCCAACUUUUAUUUUCCUCCAAGCUGCUACCUUUUUUUUUUUAUUCUUUCCUCAACAGCCUAAAUUUUUUUCCCCAAGAAGCUCCAAGCUGCUACCUGAGGAAAUUACAUGAUAUCAGGGCUUUAAACAUCACAGUUCAAAAAUCAAGGCUGAAGUUUCUUUAUUCAGAAAUCAGGUAUUGAUUUAAUAAUUUAAAUAUUAAAUAUUUCACCCAAAUUCAAUUUCAACCAUAAUUCAUUUCUCUCUCUACCAUCUAUAUUUUCUCCCUUCUCUCUACCACAAAACACCACUGUCGCCAUCGGCAGCGGUGAUUCACGAUGGUGGUGAAGCUCUAAAGCAACCUCACCGACGACUAUUCUAUUUAUUUUCUCUCUAUGUUGUAAGGCAGAGGUAGCGUCGUGACAAUAUGGUGUGGUGUGCUACACGUUUGGCCUUCCUCUGUCAUCUUUUCCUUUUCCUUAAUCUUUCUCUCACAGUCUCACUUUCUUUGUGUGUUUUUUGAGUAUGGAUUAAAGGGUUUUUGUCUCCAAGAUUUUCUCAAAAUUGUCGAAACAAAAGGAAGGCACAGAGGCACAAAUAUUGCUUGCAUGUACUUACUUUCAUUUUCCUGCAAAACCAAAGGUUCAAUUCUUGUUUUCGAAGCUAUAUUUUAUACAAUUUACUAAUUAGCUUUGCUUUUGGGGAACAAUAAGGUUGCAUUUGGCGCCAUAAGCUUGAAGUCAUUGAUUUAGAAUCAGGAUUAUGAAAAUUUUAAAACAUCAAUUACCAAAACCCCAUUUGAUGCUGUCAAUAUGACAAAAGGGGAUUUUAAUUGUUUUUUUUUCCUUUUGAUAUAUGGGAUAUUGCUACUGUAUUAAGUUUUUAAAAAUGGAAGCAACAAUGUUACUAUAUCUUUAGAGCUAGUUUUCCCUUUUCACCAUUGAAAAAGGCAGCAUCAAGUGGGG